CCAUUGUCCAGUAGGUGCUUGAUUUGUGUCUGUGUAAAGUGCAUGAGUGGUUGCAGUUAAAAAAAAAAACGGAAGAAUGAUAAGAGGGAUAAGAGAAAGUAGGCAUUUUGGGUUAUCUAUACAUGUUUAAAUAGAAGGGUGGUAAAUAGGAAUGUAAUUGUUUUGGUUAAUGUUUAGAUUAAAUUGGUUAAAUACAGCAGUGAUAACGAGUGUUUAGAUUAAAUUGGUAAAUGCAGCAGUAAUAACGAGUGUUUGGGUUAAAUUGGUAGAUACAGCAGUGAUAUUGUGUUUAUCUGUGAAUCAGGAGUGUGCUGGAUGUGAAGAGAGG